rnacentral:rRNA from 1 species
AGCGAACGCUGGCGGCAGGCUUAACACAUGCAAGUCGAGCGGGCACUUCGGUGUCAGCGGCAGACGGGUGAGUAACACGUGGGAACGUACCCUUCGGUUCGGAAUAACGCUGGGAAACUAGCGCUAAUACCGGAUACGCCCUUUUGGGGAAAGGUUUACUGCCGAAAGAUCGGCCCGCGUCUGAUUAGCUAGUUGGUGGGGUAAUGGCCUACCAAGGCGACGAUCAGUAGCUGGUCUGAGAGGAUGAUCAGCCACACUGGGACUGAGACACGGCCCAGACUCCUACGGGAGGCAGCAGUGGGGAAUAUUGGACAAUGGGCGCAAGCCUGAUCCAGCCAUGCCGCGUGAGUGAUGAAGGCCUUAGGGUUGUAAAGCUCUUUUGUCCGGGACGAUAAUGACGGUACCGGAAGAAUAAGCCCCGGCUAACUUCGUG